rnacentral:rRNA from 1 species
UACGAAGGGGUCUAGCGUUGUCCGGAAUUACUGGGCGUAAAGCGCACGUAGGCGGUCUAUUAAGUCAGGGGUGAAAUCCUGGAGCUCAACUCCAGAACUGCCUUUGAUACUGAUGGUCUCGAGUCCGGAAGAGGUGAGUGGAAUUCCGAGUGUAGAGGUGAAAUUCGUAGAUAUUCGGAAGAACACCAGUGGCGAAGGCGACUCGCUGGACAGGUAUUGACGCUGAGGUGCGAAAGCGUGGGGAGCAAACAGG